GGGGAUAACACUUGGAAACAGGUGCUAAUACCGUAUAACACUAUUUUCCGCAUGGAAGAAAGUUGAAAGGCGCUUUUGCGUCACUGAUGGAUGGACCCGCGGUGCAUUAGCUAGUUGGUGAGGUAACGGCUCACCAAGGCCACGAUGCAUAGCCGACCUGAGAGGGUGAUCGGCCACACUGGGACUGAGACACGGCCCAGACUCCUACGGGAGGCAGCAGUAGGGAAUCUUCGGCAAUGGACGAAAGUCUGACCGAGCAACGCCGCGUGAGUGAAGAAGGUUUUCGGAUCGUAAAACUCUGUUGUUAGAGAAGAACAAGGAUGAGAGUAAAAUGUUCAUCCCUUGACGGUAUCUAACCAGAAAGCCACGGCUAACUACGUGCCAGCAGCCGCGGUAAUACGUAGGUGGCAAGCGUUGUCCGGAUUUAUUGGGCGUAAAGCGAGCGCAGGCGGUUUCUUAAGUCUGAUGUGAAAGCCCCCGGCUCAACCGGGGAGGGUCAUUGGAAACUGGGAGACUUGAGUGCAGAAGAGGAGAGUGGAAUUCCAUGUGUAGCGGUGAAAUGCGUAGAUAUAUGGAGGAACACCAGUGGCGAAGGCGGCUCUCUGGUCUGUAACUGACGCUGAGGCUCGAAAGCGUGGGGAGCGAACAGGAUUAGAUACCCU
rnacentral:rRNA from 1 species